CCCCCCGCCCUCCAUCGCCUGCCCUCCCCAAGAAAGAGCAGCCAAGUUCCCAAGCUGCAGGGCCUGGGAAAGCAGGUCAGGGCAGAGACAGUCAGGAAUGAGCAGAAUGCAGUGGCCGAUUCAGCACAUUCCUCUCGGAGUUAACCCCUUGAAAGAAGCAGGAGAGGACACAACUCUGGUUUUAUGCAUAAUCUCCAAAGCCAGACCUCUGUAACUGAAUGUUUUAGGCCAGCGAUGAGGUAUCUUUGGCCCUACACCCUUGUGGAAAUCAAUUGAAACAAAGUCAGCAUGUUUGAAGGUCACAGGGAGAGAAGCUUCAUGAUUGCCACAUCAAUGAGUCUGUCAAGCACCCACAAAAGAUGAUGUUUUUGGGAUAUUUCAGUUGUUAUGGUGUUGGAAGCCUGCAGCCAAUAGAAGGAAUGAUGCACUCGCCGCAAUAUAUUGAGGUUCUACGAAAGAGAGUUAUUCCAGAGCUGGAAAAGAGGUGUGUCUUAUCGUCCGGUGCGUCUAAUAGAGCGAAAAAUACGGUAUCCUGGUGGUACUGGGAUAUUGCAGCAUGACCUAGCCCUUUGUCACACAUCAAAAGUGGUGAAGAAAUUCAUGACAGAGCAGCGAAUACAGGAAUUCUAGGUGCCAAAAUCCUAAGGGAGCAGAAAAGACUAUUUAUGUAUGCGACCACAGCUGCCCGGAUAUCAUUGGCCCAGAGAUGCAAAGAAGAUAAAGUCCCUACCAGAGAAGAAUGGAUGAUUAAAUUGAUGGAUUAUGCUGAAUUGGCAAAAAUGGCUGGAAGAAUCAGAAAUCAGGAAGAGCAAAAUUUUAAUAAGAAAUGGGGGGAAAUUAUAAUUUAUCUUAAAAACCUUUGCAAACAGUUAAAACCAGUGUUUUUUUCUGGGGGGAUGCAUACCCCUAAACAUUUUGUGAAUCUAAGUUUGGCCUUAUUGAGGGGCAAUAUUUCAAUAUGAGUAGAAGAAUGAGAGUACCCCUAAACAUUUUUUUAAAGGAAAAAAGCACUGGUUAAAACCAUUAGUAGGACUGGAAUAACACUUGUAGUUUAAUGGUGAAUUUUGGACAUAAUGGACAGAUAAAAGAUAUGGAUUAUUAUAAAAGAUGCAGUAGGAAAUGAUUAGUAAUAGGAUCCUCAAAGGAGAGGAGGGAAGUCCAAGAAAUUCUUUGGAAUCUUGUUUUUAUGUUGUAUAUUGGAUAUGUGAUUGUAAAACUUUGAUCUGGAAACCAAAUAAACAAUUUUUUUAAAAAAAGACAACGCU